UUGCCCUCACCACUAUCACGAGUUGCUGAUAAAAAUGCCCAGCAGGUCUAGCUCACCUUCAGUGAUCCUGCCAAGCUCCGAGCUCCCCAACACUGCCUGAAUCUG